UGCACAUUUUCUGUAGAUCUAAGUUAUUCUUAGUUUAAGAAAUAGGUGGAUGGGUGCUGAACUGAUGUGAGUAUCACUUGGAGCUUUGAAAGGGCUGAACUCUUGUGUCACACAACAGAAUAUUGAACUCUGCUAAUCUUGGUUUGCUCCAUUACCGUUUCAACUGAGGAAACCAUGUAUGUUGAUCUUCAGCUAUAACAAAGCAAGUCCAGGCAGCGGUCCCGCUGAUGAGAAGGCCAUUCAGACAGAAAAAGCUGUUCUAAAGGACACCUGAAGCAACGGCUAAUAAAUGCUUGACUUUUACUGCAAUAUCUCAUUGAGCUAGUGGCACGAUUCAUCUGAUACGACUGACCGCUUGUUCCACUUCCACUUAUUCGCAUGGGGUCUGUAAACAAGUCCUUGGCAGCUAUGUAGCCUACUUGUUGAUUUUUAUUUUUGUCGUAACAAUAAAAUCACAAACAGA